GGAUUCCCCGAGUAGCGGCGAGCGAAACGGGACAAGCCCAGCGCUGAAUCCUGCGGCCCAGGCGGGCCGCCGGGAAAUGUAGCGUUAGGGAGGAGAUGUUAAUUUAAUUCGCGCGGUCAUUAGUCACGGCGGCCAGUCCAAGUCCAUCUUGAAGGGGGCCCCGCUUAUCCGUAGAGGGUGCCAGGCCCGUGGUGACGGUCGCCGGCCGCGAUGGUCUCUCUCCCCAGAGUCGGGUUGCUUGAGAGUGCAGCCCUAAGUGGGUGGUAAACUCCAUCUAAGGCUAAAUACGACCACGAGACCGAUAGCGAACA
rnacentral:rRNA from 1 species